CACGCCAACGCCAUCGCACUCGCAUCCUGCCGCCGCCGCUCCCUGCGCUACCUCGACGGAAGCCAUCUCAAAUCCAUCCCUUCGCCGCCGCCCUCGCGCUCACAUCAAGGAUCGAGGCCUCCAGAGUAUCCUCGAUCCCCGCGUUACCCUUUCGCCGCCGCCGAUCCCGCCGCCGCGGGAGAGGAUGAGCUGAUCUCCAUGGCCAGAUGAGGGAGGAAUACGGGUGACGGGAUGGAUUUGGAUCUCAAGGUGGGGAGGCCAACGUAGCCGCCCCUAGCAGAGGAUUUGGAUCUGAUGGAUUUGGCUGCGUCGACCAGCAGAGGACAGCCGCCGGCUCGGCUCCUCCACCACGAAGCAACCUCCUUCCACCCCGUAACCGCCGUCCGAAACCCUAGCAAUCGAGCCCCACCCAUGGCACCCUAGGUGGUACAGCGGCCAGAGGAGAGGAGGUGGAGCAGCCAUCGCCUGGACAUGAGCAGCAUCUUGGGCAUGCAUCCAUUGAGGACGUGAGGAGAUUGGAGGAAAAAAUAUCAGAAAUCGGAGACAUGACGUUUUGGUUCAGUUCUGGAUCAUUUUCUUUUUUGGUUCAGUUUAUAAAAGUGGUUGUUGUUUUAUGUUGCUGCUAGCCAUCAGAAAACGAGUUCACAGUAGGUUUCCAUCCUUAUUUCUUUCGCAGAUUUAUUCACCUUAUUGGGACGGUGGGGUUAAUAUAUAUACAUCAAUUUUGAGCAUCGGCAACGCAUGAAGCUUGCUUCUGAGGCUGCAACAUACUUUACAAUCCCCCUGUGAAACAUACUUUUGUCACUAUGCACAUAUGGUUAUUUGAACGAAUUGAUGUCGAUUAGACUAUCUUUUUCCUAAUUACUUGUUAUAUGACAUUCUUUACUAUUCAGAGGUUGUUGAAGGGAGAUGGGGCUCUUCAGGCCCCUUUGGUGCAAAAGCACAAGCAGCAGCAUCUACAGCUGACCGCUCAUAGCCUAGGAUGUCCUGCAGAUUUGAUCUAUUUUGGAUAGAGCACAUGGAAUCAAACCACAGGAUACCCAAGCAGUGCGUACAAAUUGUAGUGGUGCUUGUAGCUUAUCAUCAACCUGCCAUUAUUAUUUGUGUUCUGAUGUGAGCAAGUUUCUUGCCCUAUCCAUGCGUCAACCAGCAAUUUCUUGAUCCAGGUGCCCCAUGCCCUAUAGGGAAGCAGAAGAGCGUCAACAUCGGCGCCAGCCGCCCCAAUGUGGGAGGAAACAGGCAGAUGCACGCGAGUUGCUCGGCGCCUUCUUCUUCUUGAAUAGUUGGGUGACCCGCCAUUAGACCACUAAUUUUGGCUUUGCUCGUUCUCUCCAAGCCCAUUGAGAAUUAAUUUAGUUGAUUGUCUGUAGAAUUCAUGGUGGUGAUGGACCUUUAUCUGCCCAAUGUUCUCAUGGAGUUUUCAUGCAACUAGCAGGUCGUCCAUGUUGUUCUUUAUGCAUUUAAAAAAAUACUAAUUAAAGGGAAAGGCAUGAAUGUGUAAGUUUUGCAGCAGUAGAUUCAGAGUGGGUUAAAAAAAAUUAUACAAUUCUUCAACCUCUUAAGAAUUAUGCAAUCAUCUCCUCGGAGUAGUGAGGAGGGCAUGCGUCAGAGGCCUGUCGACAGAGGAAGUGCAUGUUUGUAUUUCAUCAGGGGGAUAGUUGUGAGCAAUGCAUACAUCUAGGUUUCCUAUUUUUAUUUUAGAGACAAACAACUUAGUUGUGGGAUUGUCGUGUUAGUUUUUCAAAAUGAAAAUUCAGUGAUGAUCAUGUUUUAUCAGCACAGGUUCAGAGAUAACUUUAAUGAGUAAACAAAUAAUUUUCAUGCAGGUCAGUUCUGAUGUGUGUUGAAUAGCUCAAUUUUGUUUUGAUCUGCUACGUUUAGUCAUUGUUUGCUCUAGCAUCAACACUAACUGUCACACGCACGCCGCCCCAUGGACGCCCCUGACUGAGGUGCGGGUCGGUGCUUGCUGUCGGUCCAUCCGCAUCGGCGCAGUGGCAUGUACCCCUUGAAAGCUUUGAAGCCUGAAAAAGCCGCAGGACCAGAUCUUCCCAUCAACCUGAAGAUGUGAAGUACGCUGUGUCUCCCGGUAUUUCUGUUGCUUCCGCUGGAUGACGCUCUAUUGUCGUUGUUGCCUCAGCCCUCCCAAUUGUCAUGUUCUUCCCUUCUCUUGCUGCUCGAUGAAGUUGGUCAUGCUGCUAGCUUUGCAUUCUAUGGAGUCUCUAUCUCUACCUAUGAUAAAUUCAGUAUCGUUCUACACACGUGUUUGUACCAAUCCAAGCCCUGGCUGAUGAUAUAGUUUUGACUUGUAAUGAUCUGACUAUGUAUUACCUUUUAUGGGAUGUAUGUAUGCCAGUAUACAUGAUUAAGUUCUAGGCAAAAGAGGGUGUCAUAUUUUAUCUCGGUGUGGAACAUCAUCUUUUAGUUGAACCUAGAUGUUUAUUCAAUCUGAAUUUAGAUGUUUUAUUUAGCAUGUACUAGCUAGCUUGUGAUUUCCUAUGCUGCAAACUGUAACUAAUUUUCUUUAGCUGCUGGCUUUGAUACUAUAGAUGACUGGAGCACCUUGUGGUGACUUUGUUCUGCUCGCGAUGUAGUUCUAGAGCAGCUUCAGCGGCAAGAUGCCAUAGUUUCCUAAUUACUACGAUGAUUUGCUGGAUGAGGAGGUGGGUGAGAUGAUGCACAAGGAGGUUGUCGCCGGUCAGAGGAGGAGGGCGACAAGGCUGGAGAGCCGAGGCAGAGGCUUACGGGGAAGAGAAGAAACGACACCUUAUACAUAAAGGAUACCCGCUCCCAGGUGCCAGGAGGACAGCCGUGGCUGACGGAGGAUAAGAGUGUCGAGGAAGUUAACACAUGAAGUAAUCAUAUGAUUCUACCAUGACUUAGUGCUGCACAUAUGUUGAGGUAGUUACGCAGACAUCUGUUCUACCAAGGUAUGCUCGGAUCACUUCUAGAGAUCUGGAGAGGAAAGUUUGUUCCUUCCUUACAAGAGCCAUAUAAACAAUAAGGAAAAGCUCUUUCCUAGCAUAAGGUGAAUCUUGUAUAGUUUAAUUUGGGUAUAUUUUCUUAUAAAUGUGUAUUGUUGCAUACAUAAAUUGUCUCAGUUAGACGAACAAUUUUUUAUUUAGCGGUGACAUACUUGGGACACCAGGAAUAGGAUUGCGGCAGGGUUGGCCAAAGGACUGCACUACUUGCACUUUUUGUACAGCCCAGGAUACCAUAUUGCAACCUAAGGCCAUUGUGUUUAUUUGGCAACGGGCAAAGCCAAGGCGUCGCCGGCGAUGCGCUAUCGUUCAGGCACAUCAUCAAGGCCCAUCUUGACGUGAGCAUGCUCGGAUCACUUCUAGAGAUCUGGAGAGGAAAGUUUGUUCCUUCCUUACAAGAGCCAUAUAAACAAUAAGGAAAAGCUCUUUCCUAGCAUAAGGUGAAUCUUGUAUAGUUUAAUUUGGGUAUAUUUUCUUAUAAAUGUGUAUUGUUGCAUACAUAAAUUGUCUCAGUUAGACGAACAAUUUUUUAUUUAGCGGUGACAUACUUGGGACACCAGGAAUAGGAUUGCGGCAGGGUUGGCCAAAGGACUGCACUACUUGCACUUUUUGUACAGCCCAGGAUACCAUAUUGCAACCUAAGGCCAUUGUGUUUAUUUGGCAACGGGCAAAGCCAAGGCGUCGCCGGCGAUGCGCUAUCGUUCAGGCGCAUCAUCAAGGCCCGUCUUGACGUGAGUAUGAGGUUGCGUGCUGAAUAUCAUCUCUGUCGGCUGCACCUUGAUCGAUAGGAUGGAAGAUGAGAUGUGUGGACCACCGUUUAUUGGUUGCAGAGAAUUUUUUGUGGGGAGGUGAGACUAUGUAUGUGGGCUAGGAAAGUGCGUCGUCUGUUUCAGAAGCGGAAGAGCAAACAAUUUCGGGCUAGACGGCUGGCGUUGAGUCUUGACUGUUAGGCUUACGGAACUGCUGGAUGAGAGUAUAGUAGAGGCAAGCAUAGCCCAGCGAACAAAUAGGAAAAAUAAAAUAAUUGAUGAUGGAGUUUAUAGGUCAGACCCGAGGAGGUGGGCUUGAGUGGGACUGCAUGAGAUAUGACGUGGCUCAAUGUGAUUAGAUGCGGAGGUGUCUAUGCUGCAUGUUGAGAUAAAUCAAGGAGUGGGGGUGAACAAAUUAAGUAGCAACGCAUGGGUAUUACACCCAAUGUAGUGCCAUAAAUCUCAUCGUAUUGUAUAACCCUCAUCUCAUUGUAUUGUAUAUAUUCAUAUAUUGAUGCAUCAAGGGGUUGCUAAUUGUUGCGAA